CCAUGGAUCCUCUGCCUGAGGUGGAUGCCCAUUAGAAUCUCUGAUAUGCUGAGAGCAGCACAGCGGAAGACAGACACCCAGGUACCACAUGCUGGCAGGAUGAGGAGCAAGCUGGUAAUCUGUGAGCUCAUAGGAAGACCUGGUGAAGCCAGCCCACCUCAGGAGAGAAAGGCGUGCUCCAGCUGGCAGCUCCCCUCCCCAAGAGGCAUUCAUCUGAACCUCCACAGAGCUGAUUUCUGAGUCCAAUCCUCCAACAGCUGGUUCUGGCAGAAUUUAUCUAAAUGAUCUCAUCUCACCAACAAGAGGUGCGUGAAGACCAUCCCUCACCCCAGGAUCUUACUGACCUCCAUGUGGAGACUGUCCCCACCCAGAGAUCAUACUUAGCUCCUUUCAGCUACUCCUGUCAGAACCCUGCCCCAGUGACCCACUGACGGCUGACAUUUCCUCACUGUUGAAAUAUGAUAAGCCAGCCUUCCUCAUGAAUGCCGGACAAUGGACAGAGACACAUGCAAGAUGGAAAUAGCCGCCGAUGAAGACAAGACACUGGGCAGCCAGGAAGUACAGACACAUCUGCCUCAGGGUCCUCCUCACUUCAUCAAUGGUUCUUUGACACAGCAGUCUCAACUGUCUGUUUUUCUUUCUUUUUCUCUUUGGAUUUGAUGUUAUAAUUUUUGUGUCCUAUAAAAUACAUUGUAUAAAUAUAUUUUGCUACACAGUUAUUCCCUAAAAUAUAGUUUAUUCAUUCA